rnacentral:rRNA from 1 species
UACGAAGGGGGCUAGCGUUGUUCGGAAUUACUGGGCGUAAAGCGCACGUAGGCGGAUUUGUAAGUCAGGGGUGAAAUCCCGGGGCUCAACCUCGGAACUGCCUUUGAUACUGCAAGUCUCGAGUCCGAUAGAGGUGAGUGGAAUUCCUAGUGUAGAGGUGAAAUUCGUAGAUAUCAGGAGGAACACCAGUGGCGAAGGCGGUGGUCUGGGCCGGAACUGACGCUGUAGAGCGAAAGCGUGGGGAGCGAACAGG